rnacentral:rRNA from 1 species
CCUACGGGUGGCAGCAGUGAGGAAUAUUGGUCAAUGGUCGGGAGACUGAACCAGCCAAGCCGCGUGAGGGAUGAAGGUACAGAGUAUCGUAAACCUCUUUUGUCAGGGAACAAAGGCGGGGACGUGUCCCCGGAUGAGUGUACCUGAAGAAAAAGCAUCGGCUAACUCCGUGCCAGCAGCCGCGGUAAUACGGAGGAUGCGACCUUUAUCCGGAUUUAUUGGGUUUAAAGGGGGCGAAGGGGGUCUGUUAAGUCAGCGGUAAAAGCCCGGGGCGCAACCCCGGCCCGCCGUUGAAACUGGCAGUCUCGAGUUGGAGAGAAGUAUGCGGAAUGCGCGGUGUAGCGGUGAAAUGCAUAGAUAUCGCGCAGAACUCCGAUUGCGAAGGCAGCAUGCCGGCUCCACACUGACGCUGAGGCACGAAAGCGUGGGUAUCGAACAGGAUUAGAUACCCUUGUAGUC